rnacentral:misc_RNA from 1 species
GAUGAAGAACGCAGCGAAAUGCGAUAAGUAAUGUGAAUUGCAGAAUUCAGUGAAUCAUCGAAUCUUUGAACGCAUCUUGCGCUCCUUGGUAUUCCGAGGAGCAUGCCUGUUUGAGUGUCAUUUUAACUUCUCAACCAUAUCGAAUUGUUUUUCGAGGUGGCUUGGACAUGGGGGUUUUUGCAGGCUUUAAUAAUGAAGUCGGCUCCUCUGAAAUGCAUUAGUGGUUUCUGAAGCAGAACUGCUACUAUUAGGUGUGAUAAUUAUCUAUGCCUCUUGCUAUACUGCAUGAACAGAUUGCGCUGCUUCCAACUUGUACACCCUUUGGUGUUUGACAAAUUUGACCUCAAAUCAGGUAGGACUACCCGCUGAACUUAAGCAUAUCAAUAAGCGGAGGA